UAAGGAAUAUUGGUCAAUGGACGCAAGUCUGAACCAGCCAUGCCGCGUGAAGGAUGAAGGUCCUCUGGAUUGUAAACUUCUUUUGUCUGGGACGAAAACGGGAUUUUUAUCUCAAUUGACGGUACUAGAGGAAUAAGCACCGGCUAACUCCGUGCCAGCAGCCGCGGUAAUACGGAGGGUGCGAGCGUUAUCCGGAUUUACUGGGUUUAAAGGGUGCGUAGGUGGGCUUAUAAGUCAGUGGUGAAAUCUCCGAGCUUAACUUGGAAACUGCCGUUGAUACUAUAGGUCUUGAAUUAUCUGGAGGUAAGCGGAAUAUGUCAUGUAGCGGUGAAAUGCUUAGAUAUGACAUAGAACACCAAUUGCGAAGGCAGCUUACUACAUAUAAAUUGACGCUGAGGCACGAAAGCGUGGGGAUCAAACA
rnacentral:rRNA from 1 species